GAGGGUAUAGCCAAAGAGGAGCGGGUGCAGCAUUCUUGGCUCAGAAGGAGGGAUUCCACUCAGUCUUCCUCAUAUGGGUCAUUGUCUGACUACAGGUCAGGCGGCCUUUGUAUACAUACCAGUGUGGAGGGAUAAGGCACCGGCUAAAGAGUGCCUCAGGCACGGGCUGAACAGCUACACUUCAUGCUCUUAACACUCUCAUCUCCGUAAGCGAAGCCCAGUGGAUCCUCAGUGUGUAUGCACUUGGGGUGAGAGCUUGAAUCACAGAUGCCUUCUCUUACCACUUCUGCCACACACACACUCCCAGUCCCCUGUCCAGUAAGCUGUUCCCCUGACAGCUAGCUGGUACCCAAGGCCCCAUCAGAGAUACACAUGUAGCCUAGCCAGCCACUGCUCAGUGAUCCUGGGCACGAGUCAGAAGGCCAGGGACAGACCUAUGUGCUCUACGUCUUCUCAGAAUAGGACAUGGACUUGGUUCUUCUACUCUAGGCUGACAGAGCGACAAGGCGGCCAAUGCACUCGUGAUGUGGCAGUCAACCCCAUCCGACCCACUUCCUGUCCAGACACUUAGAGUGCAAUCCCCAGCAGGGAGAACCAGGCGGGCUUUCCUGCCCUGGAGGAGGGGUUCUUGGCCACUGGGGUUUGUGCCUGCACCUUGGGCACUGAUCAAAGUUGUAUGUUCAUGGCAAGCAUGUAAGUGACGUUAAACGUCAGAUCUGUUAGGAUCCGGGAGAGGGAGCGGCGUGUGAGAAAGGGAAGCGUUUCCUAGUUCAGUAUAUUUGAUACCGACGGAAGGAAUGUGCUGUCUGCCUGUGUGCCUGCACGCCAUGUGUGUGCAGUGCCAGUGGAGGUCAGAAGGGGGUGUUGGAGCCUCUAAAACUGAACAGCUGUGAGCCAGCAUUCAAGUGCUGAGAACUUAUCCCGGGUCCUCUGCAAGAGCGCAGUGGGCACUGAGACAUGGAGAAUAGUGAUCAGAAUUGCAGGUGUCCGGAGGCUGGGAAAUGCCGAAGGAGAGUUGAGGAGAGAUGGGUUCUGCGUGCCCCAUUUAGGAGCUCAAAGGUAAGCAGAGCCCAAAACACUGGCAAGGACACAAGCAGGGGUGGGCUGAGGACUGGCAACAGUUGCCAUCAGUUAUGGGGCAGUGCUGGUAGCUCCUCUCAAUGCAGUCAGAGGCUAGGGAGCCAGGAGUAACCUAAAGGAAAGGUCCCCCGAGAAGGGGGUAAUCCAGUACCAGAGCCUCCUCAUCUCUCUUCAUUUUUCCACCUCCCAGCUUCACCCCAAGGUUCCUGGGUGUGGGUGCUGGGGAAUCCCCUUAGCUGUCAUUCACUCUUCCUUCAUUCAUUCAUUCAUUCAUUCAUUCAUUCAUUCAUCCGCUUAGCAUCUUCUACCCUCUGGGUACCGCUCUAAGGACCGAGGAUAAAGGCAUCGUCAUUCUCCCGCCACUUGCACUCUAACAGGGCAAGGAGCAGCACAUGUAAUUAAUAAACGUUUGAAUAAGAUGUUAGGUUCCCAGUGUUGUGAAGAAAAAGCAGAACAAACUAUCUCCCCUCUCCUGGCAGCCUUUGUGAAGAGGACUUCUGGCGCUGGCCUCUCUCAGUCCUGGUGUGCGACCGUAGGGAUGGGUCAGAGAUACCUAGGGUGAGUCUCAGUCACCGAGGAGCUUGCAGGAAACGUAGAUUGAUUCUCUAGAUGAAAACUCGUGGACAGGACAUCCAGCAUCCUGGUGCUUCUGAAUGCUAACGGCAGGGAAAGGUGGGCUUUGAGGACCAGGACACACGGUGGUGUUCUACACAACAUCUGGGGGACUGUGAAUGUGUAGGCGGGCCAGGGUAUCCUAGUUUAGGCUGCUAAAAUAGAGGCCCAGCCAGGUAUGGCGGCGGCAUAUAUCUCUAAUACUCUAGUACUUGGAAGGCAGAGAUGGGAAAUUAGAAGAUCAAAUCUAGCCUGGAUUACACGAGACGAGACAAGACAGCCAGGUGUGGCGGCACGUGCCUACAAUCCCAGGGCUCAGGAAGCAGAGGCAGGAGGAUGGUCAAGUCCAGUCUGGUCUACAUGGCAAACUCCAGCCAAAAGGGCUAUAAAGCAAGAAAGUCUCAAAUAAAACGCAGGACAAGAAAAGACGUACCAUAAACUGGGUAUAUUAAGCACAGCAGGGAGUUAGUCUCGCAGUACUGCAUUCUGGGACGUUAAAUAUCAAGGCGGAGUUCGAGUCUGGCAAGGGCCUCCUUUCUAGUUUGGAGACAACAAAUUUUCUCUGAACCCUCACAUUGCACAAGGGUUCCUUGGCUUCUCUCCGGUUUCUUCUCUAAGGACAGUAUUUCCACCCCCCAUGAGGUCGACAACCUGAACACCUUCCAAAAGCUCCCCUACGACUUGAAUUCGGGGUAGGAUUCCAACCUUUGACCUCUGGGGUUGCAGAGAUUCGGUCAGUGCGGGAACUGACGACAAAUACUCUUGAGCUAUCGACCGGGCUCGGCGCCUCCUUUGGAUCUGGAAAGUCCCUCGAAUGCUUGUGUGGUGAAGGCUCGGCCCUCAGCUGCUGGGGAAAGCAGGCAGCAGCAGUAGGAACUCGCUGGGCCUACUUGGAGGAAGGAAGUCAUAGGCGCAUGUUCCUGGGACCUCGGCCUGCUCCCUCCCCAGUGUCUCUCUACCUCCACUAAGCCCUCCCACGAUGAUGUAUUUAUUGCCUUCCCACAAGUAGCUAGGCCAAGUGACUCUGGACUGAAACCCUGAAAUUGUUCGUCAAAAUAAAAGACUGGGCUGGGUGUGUUGGUGCCUGUCUUUAGUCCCAGCACUGGAGAGCCAGAGGCAGGUAGAUCUCCAGUUCAAGGUCAGCUUGAUCUACGGUAGUGAGCUUCAUAUAAGUUCCAAUAAAUAAAAUUUAAAAACAGAA